GUCUCAUUAGUGCAGUUGGUAGCGCAUCAGUCUCAUAAUCUGAAGGUCGUGAGUUCGAUCCUCACUGUAUGGGGCU